CUGGUGUUCACCAUGCUAAAUAGUCUUCAAACUGUUCAGGCUGUCCUUCCUAAUAAAAGCUGGAGAAACGAGGCCUCCAUUUCCCAAAGGUAGGACAGCACUUUCAGUUUCCAUCUGUCAAUAAUGCUUUGUGAUCGGAUAUGUGAGCAAGCCUUUCUCAAAUGGCUUUUGAAGAAACUCUUAGAAGUUGUUUGAACAUCAUAAGACUGCUUAGAGAGCUAAUAAGGACCUGGAAAUAUUUCACCUUUUUCUUCGGAGCUUUUCAGACAGUGUUGGUGUCGUUUGAAGACGAUUAAAGAGAGGGAAAGGAUAAUGGGCAGAAAUUCAUGUCCGUCUUAAGAAAUGACCACGAUAGUGCCUCAUGCAAAGGAGACAUUCUACAAAUGUGUUGGGAAUGGAAAGCAGAUAAAGAUGUGAUCGAGAUGAAAGAGAAAAAUGGCAUUUGGAAUUCUCCCUUCAGAGAUCAAAGUUAACAGUAUGGUGAUACGGCAUCCAAGGAAGACAGAAAUAACUGAUUUCAAGACAGCGAAAUUUCUACAAUUUACCAGUUAUUUAAAAGCUAGCAAACAAACAACGGCAUACUCACCUUCAUCUGUUGGGGGAAAAUUAUUUUUUGUCAUUGCUCACUUCAACAUGGGCGCAAUGAGAGAUAAGAGACACUAAGAAAUGAGUGUAGAAAUGAAUAUUUUUGCUCAUUCUGCUAGAAAAUAUAAUACUUAGUAGAAACAGAUUCCUGAAUUGCUACACUUUAAACAUGCAAUCACAUUUUACUAUUAUAUGCUAUACACAUACUCUAAAUGUUGUAAGCUUAAUAUUUCAGAUUGUAUAAGAGAUUUUGAGGCAUGUUAUUGUACAUACAAAUAACAUAAAUAGGGUUACCAUCCUAAUCCAAGGGUUACUUAGAAAAGAAACCAAUACUAUUUUUGAUAUAUUAUUAAUGACAUUGUCUUCUGACAACAUAAUUUCUUAUACACACUGCUUUUACUUUAAAAAUUGUUUCUAGAUAAACAUAAUGUUUUUUCCUCUUUUGCUGUUUUUUUAUUUUUGGAAAAAUUAAAGGCAUCUUUAUGUUUAUUCUUAGAGAUAACUCAGCUUCAUCUUGGCCCACUUUCAAGUAAAAUUCAAAUAAAUUAAUUUGAGGGAUGUCAAAAUGUCUACCAGCCUAAUAACUUAACAACCUCUUAAGAUGCCAGUGGGUUAGAAUAAAAGACCUACAUCGAAGGGAAUGAUGGGGAACAUGGCAGGAGGGAAUUUUGUCUUAAUAUCCUUUCUUAGAAGCAUGCUUUCUGUGCUCAGCUGCAUAGAAACAACUGGCUUCAGGGAGCUACCUUUUACUCAAUCUUUAGAACAGUAUUAUUCAUUCAAUUGCAAUGUUGACUAUUGUAUAUACAAUUGACAUAAGGCCUCAGGACAUUCAGUCUUCUGUUACGGAAUUUAUGGAAUCUGAGCUCUCCUGCUGGGAUCAAGACACCAUCUGUAGGAACUGGUAUUAUGAACCCACCUCUGGGUUACUUUAGAUGGAGCCACGUGGCUCUGGCUCCUAGAUCUCAGCUGUAUCCAUGGCUUAUGCUGAUUUUCCACCUAUAGGGGACUAUGAAAAUUCACUUGUCUUAAUUUCAGAGUGAGACAUAAGUAAGGGUGAUUAGAUUGAUAGCAUCUCCAUUACCAAAUCAAUCAGUCCAUGGCUUGUCAGCAUUCUUUCUAGGGUUUGCAACUUGUCUGAGGCUCAGUUCACUCCUCUAGGAAAUGGAAUGAAGUGAGGGAGGAUAAGAUCAGGCUAUGAUGUGUGGGCCUUUCUCAACAUUAAAGUAGAUCAUUCCCAUCAUUUGAAUUCACUAUUAUGAUUUUAAUUAAAACCUUUGUUAAUAUCUAGAUUGGUAUCUUAUAAAGACAUAGAGAAAAGGAUGGGUUCAUUUCAUCUGAAAGGUUAGGGUUUUCUUUGGUUUGAUAUGUUUAGCUUGGCUUUUAAAAUUCUUGAACAGACUUUAUUUCUGUUCUUAAUGUAUUUUUUCUAUUUUAAUUAUUCUGGCUUUU
rnacentral:lncRNA from 1 species